rnacentral:tmRNA from 1 species
GGGGCUGAACUGGAUUUGACAGCGUUGCAAAGUGGUGCGUAAGCAUGCAGAGCGUCGGUAUGCCGGCUCUAUAAUCUCGGGUAUCAACCUAUAACUGGCAACACUUCUUACGCUCUCGCUGCCUAACCGAAGCACAGUAGGUCGGCUUUAUCGGCGCCAUAGUGGCGUCGACGAGACGUCUCCCAGAUGCCCACUCCUUGAGGCGUUCUGACACGGAGGCGCAGCAAUAUCAGGGAUGGUCCGAGGGGUGCUCCUCUCCAAGGGCGAGAUUUUAAAGAGAUAAGGUGAAGCGUUGGGCGCCAGCCCCCGAACCUCACUCGAAAACCAAAGGCAGGAUAAGCAUGUAGAAAGCGUAUGACUUCAAUGUUUGGACUGGGGUUCGAUCCCCCACAGCUCCACA